rnacentral:tRNA from 1 species
GGUGUCAUAGCUCAGCUAGGUAAGAGCACUGGCUUGAAACCCCAGAGGUCCUUCGUUCAAAUCGAAGUGAUACCG